CGCUUUAAGACAUUAUCUAAAGUAAAACCUGCUCAAUGACACAAACCAUAAAUAGCCGCAGUAUAACCUGUGCUAAGGUAGCACAAUCAAUUGCUUUCUAAUUAAAAGAUAGUAUGAAGGGUAACACGAUUAUUUACUGUAUCCAACCAACUAAUUAAAUUUUCCUUGGUGUAAAAAGACACUAAUAAAACAAAAAGACGACAAGACCCUGACAAACUUAAUAUUUAGUUGGGGCAACACAAAAAUAAAAAUUUAUUAUUCAUAACUCCCAACUAUAAAAUUAAAUAAGGACAAGUUACUGCAGGGAUAACAGCGCAAUACUCUUUUAAAGCUCUCAUAAAAAAGAGUGUUUACGACCUCGAUGUUGAAUUAAUUAACCUAAUACGGCGCAAAAGCCAAAAAAGGGGGUCUGUUCGACCAAUAAUAAACU
rnacentral:rRNA from 1 species